AACGUGGGUAAUCUCCUCAUCCAAUCAGUUAGCUGUCUUAAAAGCCAGAACCAAGGGUUUCAGAGGUCAGAUGAAGAAUUUCUGCCUCAACUUCAACACUGGCUCUUGCUGGUAUUUCUAGCCAGCCCACUUCCCUGGGGGAAUUCAGACAUCACCUUCAACAGGUGAUGAAGACUUCAACAUCACCUUUGUUGGAGUUUCCAGCUUGCAGCCUGCCUUGUGGAGUUCAGACUGGCCCGCCACCAAAUUGACUUGUGGAAUUAAUUUACCUCCGUUACAGCCUAGAUAGGUCCUUCUUGGACCCCUCGCAGCAGCCUUCAGACACCUAGAGGUCAAGGCUGCUGCCAACUCUUGCUGGAAUCACUGCACAAACUCUCUGCCAGGUGUAUCCAGCCUUGUGCCCUCUCUCCCCCUACUGGAAACCUGUCAGAGCUGCUCCAUUUUUCACAGAAUAAGGUCCGGACUCCAUAACUGGCAGGGAAGAAACUCAAGUUCUUUAGAGCUGCUCAUUUGAUGGAGAAGCCGCAGGGAGGAGGAUGUUCUGAGUUGGAACCUGGAUCUCUGCUGAGCUGCUGGAGGCCCUCGCCUGAUGACGGGCGCCCGGGAGAGGAGAAGAGGAGCACAGCCCAGACACCGGGCCCUGGGCCAUCUUCCGGCCCUUCAGAAGGAGUCAGCACUGUCUCUGAAGCCACAAAUGAGGUAACAGAAAAGAAUUAGAAGAAGGAGGUAUCUGAUGAAAAGGCACCUGCAAGUCUAAAGUCCUCUUUGCUUUAAAGAUUUGUGUGGUAAGUAUAUAUACAAAAACAUUUAUAAAUAGUUUAAAGAAAAGAGAAGCACCUCUUUACCUACCACCCAGCUUAAGAAACAGAACCCUACCAGUCUUUCUCAAGUCCUGCCGCCCUUGCUGAUCAAGUCUCCCUCUCUCCCCCGGCACCUGAGAAUUGCUGGGCCAAAGGACAUCCCCAUUUUUAAGGCAUUGGACAUGUACCAUGAGACAGUCUAAUGGUGCUGAGUUGUUGCUGUUCUUCUCAAUGGUUAAAAUGGCUUCAAACUGCAGUUAUGACAGUAAAAAACAGUUAAAAACUAAUACUCAUAAUUAUUGUAACAAUUUUGUUCAUUCUUAUUUUUGGAUUUUGUUUUUGAGAUACUUGAGCACUCAACACUAAGUUUAAGAAAUAACAGAUCACCUUUCACAUCAUGAGGCACUAUAUUAACUUCAAAACAUCUUUCAAUUUCAGAAACAUAAUUUUAAACAAUUGCCCCUACCCAAAAGCUACAUCUACUAAAAUGAAAUUAUAUAAACAAUAAAAUAGAAUAAUUAAAUUCUGAAAAGCCAGUCUGUGUCGUACCUGGGUUACUGGAAUGUAGAGAGGUUCUCCAUUAUGUAGCAGUGUAAGUUUCCCAUGCUGAUGGAGACGUCCUUCUGGCCUUAAAUUUGCUGUUUCCUUAAGUCCUCCUUUCUUACCACUCUCUUGUCCAUUUCCCUUAAAUUCUUCGGUAUCACUUAGGCAUUCAAAAAAUUCUUCUUCACUGUCACUCCAGGAAUCCCAAGAUUUUCCCAUCUCUCCUUUUUCCUUAUCUAUAUCUUUCAGAUUAUCAACACUCAACUGUUCUCCAGCUCUUCCAGUAUUCCCUAGAUAUAUAUUAGUCACAUUAUCUGAAGUAGUUGACUUUCUCCCCUCAUCACGGGCCUUCUUUCUUUCAAUACAGCAAUUUAACAUCUUAAGAAAAUAAAAAUAACAUUUAUAUUUCAAUUAGUUGCAGUAAAAAUAAAAUCUAUCCAUUCCUUGAAUAUUUAAUAUUCAUUCUCCACCCUUCCUCAGGACUUUGCUGUGAAUUACACUCUCCUAGUAACCUGCAACAACACAAUGAGAAUAGUCUAUGAUCCAUUAUUACAUUUAGUCCUAGAAUAAGUGACAAUUAAAUCAAGACCACAUUUAUAUAAUGUCCUUAGGAAAUCUUUACCUGUAGUUUCUGAUGCAGUAAACAACAUCUUAGAUCUGGAGGUCCACUUGCUAAUCUAUCAAAUAAAAUAAGUGGGAAAAGAGCUUAAUUUUAAUAAAAUUGCUUCACAUAUGCAUAUUUUUCAUACAACCAUAAUUUUUAGUCAUACUAUUAAGAAGUCAAAACUAGGAGAAACUAAGAUGGUGGCUAGGUGAGACAGGGCAAAAAACACCUCCAUGAAAAACACUAGAUAAAAACCAGAAAGUGACCCAGAAUACUGGUUACAGCGAUGCGCCA